rnacentral:rRNA from 1 species
GACGAACGCUGGCGGCGUGCUUAAUACAUGCAAGUCGAACGCAGUGGGGACGGGUGAGUAACACGUGGGUAAAAUCCCAUCAGAGGGGAUAACACUUGGAAACAGGUGCUAAACCGAUACUGAUGGAUGGACACGCGGUGCAUUAGCUAGUUGGUGAGGUAACGGCGUACCAAGGGAACGAUGCAUAGCCGACCUGAUAGGGUGAUCCGCCACACUGGAACUAAGACACGGUCCAACCUCCUACGGGAAACAGCAGUAGACAAUAUUCCGCAAAUGACGUAAGCCAGACGCAGCAACGCCUCGGGAGUGUUGAAGGUCUUCGGAUCGUAAGACACUGUUAUUAGGGAAACCGUACCUGCUCAGUAAGCCACGGCUAACUCCGUGCCAGCAGCCGCGGUAAUAC